AUUGAACGCUGGCGGCAGGCCUAACACAUGCAAGUCGAACGAGUGGCGGACGGGUGAGUAAUGUCUGGAAAUUGCCUGAUGGAGGGGGAUUACCACCGGCAACGGUAGCUAAUACCUCAUACCAACAGAAGUUCCCAGCUGGGCUUAGCUUGUUGGUGGGGUAACGGGUCGCCAAGGCGCCGAUCCCUAGCUGGGCUGAGAGGAUGACCAGCCACACUGGAACUGAGACACGGUCCAGACUCCUACGGUAGGCAGCAGUGGGGAAUAUUGCACAAUGGGAGAAAGCCUGAUGCAGCCAUGCCGCGUGUAUGAAGAAGGCCUUCGGGUUGUAAAGUACUUUCAGCGGGGGGGCGUUACCCGCAGAAGAAGCACCGGCUAACGCCGUGCCAGCGGGCGCGGUAAUUC
rnacentral:rRNA from 1 species